rnacentral:rRNA from 1 species
GCGAGAAAGGGGGCAACCCUGAGUACAGCGGCGUACGGGUGAGUAACACGUGGAUGAUUUACCUUUUAGUGGGGAAUAACCCUGGGAAACCGGGGCUAAUACCGCAUAAGCCUGAGAAGGGAAAGCCGAAAGGCGCUGAAAGAGGAGUCCGCGGCCGAUUAGCUAGUUGGUAGGGUAAAGGCCUACCAAGGCGACGAUCGGUAGCCGGCCUGAGAGGGCACACGGCCACACUGGCACUGAAACACGGGCCAGACUCCUACGGGAGGCAGCAGUGGGGAAUCUUGCACAAUGGAGGCAACUCUGAUGCAGCGACGCCGCGUGAGCGAUGAAGCCCUUCGGGGUGUAAAGCUCUUUCGACGGGGACGAUAAUGACGGUACCCGGAGAAGAAGCUGCGGCUAACUACGUGCCAGCAGCCGCGGUAAUACGUAGGCAGCGAGCGUUGUUCGGAAUUACUGGGCGUAAAGAGUGUGUAGGCGGUGCUCUAAGUUCGGUGUGAAAUCUCCUGGCUUAACUGGGAGGGUGCGCCGGAAACU